CGUGGGGCGGGGUCUCGAGACCACACCCAAGCCCCACUCUUCUGGUCCUUGCUCCAGUUCUCAGAGAAUGUGGCUGGUCCGUGCUAGCUGAGAUGAAGCAGGUUCGCCACUUGCUGCGUUAUCGCCACGGGACAGGGCCUUGCGCUUGCUAGGCAAGCGCUCUACCGCUGAGCUAAAUCCCCAACCCGAGACUGAUCCAUCUCAAGCGGGAGCAAUCUGGUCCUGAAGGGACAGCAGUGGGAGUAAUGGCAGCUGUGGAGUGCUGGACAGCUUGAUACAGGAAGCACCAAAUGCAGAGAGAGAACAGACCAUACAACCCCGCUGGACUAUAAACCCUAAAGCCCACCACUAGGGGCAUACUUCCGCCAACAAGGAUCCACCCUCUGAAGGCUACACAACCUCUCCAAACAGCGCCACCUACUGGGGAACCAUGUGUUCGAGCACAAGAGCCAAGGGGGACAUAUCUUAUUCAAAUCCCAGUACCUUACAAGUUCAGUUCGAAUUUGGCUUUCACUAAUCCACUUUCAGGGCGACUGUACCCCCAUCAGCCCCUAAGGAAAAUAUAAUUAUGAAAAGCUAACGUCAGGAGAACAGGCUUGUGAGGCAACCACAGAAAUACCCAGUUGUGUGGGUAUUAUGCAAGGCAGCAUAAGCUAUGGUGCACGUCAUAGCAAUUUUCGGUCAUUAAAAAGGUGCAUGUAGGUGUGUGUCUUUAUUAUCGUAAAAUGGUGCACAGUUGAGCAGUUGCAAAUUGCUUUGUGUUACGUGACCUCUUUGGGAAACCUCUCUCCCCAUCUUUCCCUCUCCUAUCAGGGGGCCCUACUCCAUUUCUCUCCUCUCCCUUGGCUUCUUUGCAGACCAUCUCUUUUUCUCUCUUGUACCUCUCUUUAGCCAUGAACUUAGAGACGCAGCGCAUGUGUGAACACACAUUGCAUGUGAAUCUGUAGAUCUGGGGGGGACAUUGCCCUGGUUCGAGGCGGUGACGGUGACCUUUGCUGCUUACACAAUUGCAAGUCUAUGCGGUUUG
rnacentral:sRNA from 1 species